GAAGAAGAGGGACUAUUGGACAUCUCAAACACACUGCACAUCUUCCUGAAUUUCCCAUGCCCGAGUGAGCAAGAUAUGACAGACCUUCAAGCUACUGUGGACCCUACAGACCUAUCCAACUCCCAAGGUUGUGGCAUUAACUGUCGUUCUCUUCAAAUCUUUCAGUGAGCAACUGUCAUGUUGACAGGAACAUGGCCUUGCCCUGUUAUCCACUGAAGAAAUGCCUUUGGAGAAAAUGAGGGAGGUGCAGCUUUCUCCAGCCCUGAAUCAGUUUCAUCUGAAAU